rnacentral:rRNA from 1 species
CACGUAGGAGGCGAGCGUUGUCCGGAUUUAUUGGGCGUAAAGAGCUCGUAGGCGGUUCAGUAAGUCGGGUGUGAAAACUCUGGGCUCAACCCAGAGACGCCACCCGAUACUGCUGUGACUUGAGUACGGUAGGGGAGUGGGGAAUUCCUGGUGUAGCGGUGAAAUGCGCAGAUAUCAGGAGGAACACCAGUGGCGAAGGCGCCACUCUGGGCCGUAACUGACGCUGAGGAGCGAAAGCGUGGGUAGCAAACAGG